GAUGAACGCUAGCGGCAGGCCUAAUACAUGCAAGUCGGACGGGAUCCGUCGGAGAGCUUGCUCGAAGAUGGUGAGAGUGGCGCACGGGUGCGUAACGCGUGAGCAACCUACCUCUAUCAGGGGGAUAGCCUCUCGAAAGAGAGAUUAACACCGCAUAAUAUCAACAGUUCGCAUGUUUGGUCGAUUAAAUAUUUAUAGGAUAGAGAUGGGCUCGCGUGACAUUAGCUAGUUGGUAGGGUAACGGCUUACCAAGGCGACGAUGUCUAGGGGCUCUGAGAGGAGAAUCCCCCACACUGGUACUGAGACACGGACCAGACUCCUACGGGAGGCAGCAGUAAGGAAUAUUGGUCAAUGGGCGGAAGCCUGAACCAGCCAUGCCGCGUGCAGGAUGACUGCCCUAUGGGUUGUAAACUGCUUUUGUCCAGGAAUAAACCUAUCUACGUGUAGAUAGCUGAAUGUACUGGAAGAAUAAGGAUCGGCUAACUCCGUGCCAGCCGCCGCAGUAAAAC
rnacentral:rRNA from 1 species